rfam:Firmicutes bacterium CAG:124 genomic scaffold, scf139
GCCUUAUCAAGAGUGGUGGAGGGAACGGCCCAAUGAAACCCGGCAACCUGCGGAUGCAAGGUGCCAAAUCCGGCGAAGGAAUCGAAAGAUGAGGG